AUCGAAAUAGCUCAGAUGGGAGAGUAUUAGACUCUACAUCGAAAAGUCCCUGGUUCGAUCCCUGCUUCCGGCA
rnacentral:tRNA from 1 species